rnacentral:rRNA from 1 species
UGGGGGAUAUUGCACAAUGGGCGAAAGCCUGAUGCAGCGACGCCGCGUGGGGGAUGAAGGCCUUCGGGUUGUAAACUUCUUUUGCUCUGAACAAGGCAUGCUAAGCGGUGUGUUGAGUGUAGGGGUGGAUUAGCGCCGGCCAACUACGUGCCAGCACCGGCGGUAAUACGUAGGGCUCGAGGGUUGUCGGGAAUUCUUGGGCGUAAAGAUCAUGUAGGUGGCUGGUUGCGUCGGUCGUGAAAGCUCAUGGCUUAACUGUGGGGAUGCGGUGGGUACGGGCUGGCUUGAGCGCAGGAGGGGAGGCUGGAAUUCCUGGUGUGGCGGUGGAAUGCGCAGAUAUCAGGAGGAAUACCGGUGGCGAAUGCGGGUCUCUGGGCUGUUACUGACACUGAGGAGUGAAAGCAUGGGGAGCGAACAGU